UGAGAGAAGCUCACCCGAGAACUGCU
rnacentral:misc_RNA from 1 species